rnacentral:lncRNA from 1 species
ACCUAGAAAUCUUUCAAGGUAGAUUCGACCUAAGAGUUUUCCCGGAAACUCUAUAAAACCAAACUAGAGCUUUAUGGUUGAGCUCAAAAACUUUCUCUCACACUUUGGUACUAUUGAGACAACCCUCUCAACCAAAGUGGACACACACAAGAGGUGAUUAGAAAAGUGGAAUAUUAAAGCAAACAACACUUCUUACUUGUAAAGAUGAACAAGAAGAUUAGAAGAAAAAGUUGGAGAGCUUUUGAAGCUUUGGAAAGCUAAGACACUUGAGCACUUGAAUGCUUGGAAGCUUGGAGGCAAAAACGUGUGGGCAAGUGUGGAGUGAAAGCUUUUGAGUUUGCUUGUAGUGUGGUGAGUAAAAAUGAGGGGUUUACCCUUCUAUUUAUAGUCUUG